rnacentral:rRNA from 1 species
GGAAUCUUGCGCAAUGGCCUAACGGCUGACGCAGCGACGCCGCGUGAGGGAUGACGCCCUUCGGAGUGUAAACCUCUUUUGCCUGGCACGAAUUGUCAGCUUCAGCUGACUUGACGGUACCGGGUGAAUAAGCACCGGCUAACUACGUGCCAGCAGCCGCGGUAAUACGUAGGUGGCAAGCGUUGUCCGGAUUUACUGGGCGUAAAGGGCGUGCAGGCGGUUUGUUAAGGCUAGGGUGAAAGCUCCCGGCUGAACUGGGAGAGGUCCUUGGAUACUGGCAAACUUGAGGGAUGCAGAGGAAAGUGGAAUUCCCGGUGUAGUGGUGAUAUGCGUAGAUAUCGGGAGGAACACCAGUGGCGAAGGCGGCUUUCUGGGCAUUACCUGACGCUGAGACGCGAAAGCGUGGGGAGCGAAC